UUUAAGUAGGCUAUAUGUUCACUCACUUUUAACUAUGUUUUAUUUGUACCUGGAAUUUGUUUGCAUGUAGUGCGAUAGUUUAAGUUUAUCCUUUGACGUGCUGGAAUACGUAGGCUAAUUGUUCAGGAGCUGUCUAUGGUGCUGAAUAUAUCGCACUCGUUAUAUCCACUCGACGUGUAGGAAUUAGAGGCAAAUCAGUUGCUCAUAUGAAUGGAAUAACUGUCUUAGGUUCAACCCUGAGAAGGAAAAUCUGAAGGGGAAAAAUAGCAAAUUGAUCACCUCGAAUGACUUUUAUACUCUACAACUUCUACUAAUACACUUUAUUUUGAAAUUGAUGUCUUUUUCGUUUUAUUAGAGUAACCUGAUACCAUUUCACGAUGGAGAAGAUGUUGCCUGCCCAAGAGGCUGCCAAAAUCUACCACACCAACUACGUGAGAAAUGCCAGGGCAAUAGGCGUGCUGUGGGCAGUGUUCACUGUGUGCUUCGCCAUCAUCACUGUCGUGGUGUUCAUCCAGCCGUACUGGAUCGGGGAUAGCGUGACUACCCCUCAAGCAGGGUACUUCGGGCUCUUUCACUACUGCAUCGGAAACCCGCUGACCUCAGAGCUGAUCUGCAAAGGGAGCGUCCUGGACUUCGCCUCCAUCCCGUCCCCUGCCUUUAGGACAGCUUUGUUCUUCGUGGGGACUUCAAUGCUACUGAUUGUUGGGAGCAUAGUGUGCCUCAGCUUGUUCUGGUUCUUCAGCACUGGUAGUGUCUACAAAAUCUGUGCUUGGAUGCAGCUGGCUUCAGCGGCCUUGAUGACGAUGGGCUGCUUGAUUUAUCCUGAUGGCUGGGACGCCCCGGAGGUGAAGCGCAUGUGCGGGGAGCGCACAGACAAGUAUACGCUGGGUAACUGUACUGUGCGCUGGGCUUACAUCCUCGCCAUCAUCAGCAUCCUGGACGCACUCAUCCUCUCGCUCCUGGCUUUCACGCUCGGCAAUCGGCAGGACCAGUUGCUCCCGGACGACUUCGUGGUGGAAAUCCCAGGAGAUGCACCUGCAGAGAAAGCCUGAAAUCGGCCUCAUAAUAGGAGCUUCAACAUGGUGAACUACGGAUCUGGAAACCCCAGCAAGGCACAAUUCCAACUUCAUAGAUGUCCUUAAGAAAAAGGUGAAACUGGUAAUUUUGGGCCAUGACUCAGAUGGAUGUAAAUGGCAAGCUGCGAUGACCUGCUCUAUGUUCUAACUGCAUAGCAGGAUAUGGUUUUAUGGUGGAAACAAAAAAAUUACCACCUCUGAGGGAGCUGUAUGCCCACAGUAGUCCAUGGCCUGCGGAUCAUGUUUAUGCAACAACAGUCCUACAACUCUAAAGAGUUUAGAUCUGUGCACAUUUCCUACCAUGGGUCCACAUAUACAAUGAGUAUAUAUAUAUAUAUAUAUAUAUAUAUAUAUAUAUAUUAUAUUUAUAUAGUUUGCUCAAUAAUUAAUGACUGUUAAGCAGAUAACUACACUAAGCAAGUAGAGGAUUUGAAGCUUCUUUCUGAUAAUGUGAUUUGUAAACAGGAUUGUAACCCAUUAAAAGCUAUGAAGGGCUUUUUAAAUAUGUUUUAACAUGUAACAUUUAACAGAAAGAAAGAAAGCCAGUAGAGUCUCACUGAACGUGUCCCUCUGUAGACAGUGGAAUGAUCUAAAGCAAUAAAGCC